rnacentral:rRNA from 1 species
AGAAUGAACCGGCGAGUUACGAUUUGUUGCAAGGUUAAGCGGAAAAAGCGGAGCCGUAGCGAAAGCGAGUCUGAAUAGGGCGCAUAAGUAACAGGUCGUAGACCCGAAACCAGGUGAUCUACCCAUGUCCAGGAUGAAGGUAAGGUAAUACUUACUGGAGGUCCGAACCCACGCACGUUGAAAAGUGCGGGGAUGAGGUGUGGGUAGCGGAGAAAUUCCAAUCGAACUUGGAGAUAGCUGGUUCUCUCCGAAAUAGCUUUAGGGCUAGCCUCGAGGUAAAGAGUCAUGGAGGUAGAGCACUGUUUGGACUAGGGGCCCUUCUCGGGUUACCGAAUUCAGAUAAACUCCGAAUGCCAUGUACUUAUACUCGGGAGUCAGACUGCGAGUGAUAAGAUCCGUAGUCGAAAGGGAAACAGCCCAGACCACCAGUUAAGGUCCCCAAAUAUAUGUUAAGUGGAAAAGGAUGUGGGGUUGCUUAGACAACCAGGAUGUUGGCUUAGAAGCAGCCACCAUUGAAAGAGUGCGUAAUAGCUCACUGGUCGAGUGACCCCGCGCCGAAAAUGUACCGGGGCUAAACAUAUUACCGAAACUGUGGAUGAACCUCUUUAGAGGUUCGUGGUAGGAGAGCGUUCUAAGGGCGGUGAAGUCAGACCGGAAGGACUGGUGGAGCGCUUAGAAGUGAGAAUGCCGGUAUGAGUAGCGAAAGAAGGGUGAGAAUCCCUUCCACCGAAUAUCUAAGGUUUCCUGAGGAAGGCUCGUCCGCUC